GAAAUGCGAUACGUAGUGUGAAUUGCAGAAUUCAGUGAAUCAUCGAAUCUUUGAACGCACAUUGCGCCCUUUGGUAUUCCAAAGGGCAUGCCUGUUCGAGCGUCAUUUGUACCCUCAAGCUUUGCUUGGUGUUGGGCGUCUUGUCUUUUGGCUCUUUGCCCAAAGACUCGCCUUAAAACGAUUGGCAGCCGGCCUACUGGUUUCGCAGCGCAGCACAUUUUUGCGCUUGCAAUCAGCAAAAGAGGACGGCACUCCAUCAAGACUCCUUCUCACGUUUGACCUCGGAUCAGGUAGGGAUACCCGCUGAGUUUAA
rnacentral:misc_RNA from 1 species